rnacentral:misc_RNA from 1 species
GAAACGCGAUAGGUAAUGUGAAUUGCAGAAUUCCGUGAAUCAUCGAAUCUUUGAACGCACAUUGCGCCUUCUGGUAUUCCGGUAGGCAUGUCUGUCUGAGCGUCAGCAAACACCCCUCGGCUAGGCUUUUUUCGGAAAGCUCACGCCGGUCUUGGGAUUUGGAUGCCAGGGCCUAAACAGCCCCCGCGCCUGCCCUAAACUUGCUGCACGACCGCUGGCUUCGGCUGGGUCAAUGGAGUGGUGUCACAAUCUUCCAGAAGGCCUUCUUGAGCACGGUGGCGUUAAACCCGCAGUCACCCUCGCUGGUGACCGACGUUUUGACCUCAGAUCAGAUAAGGAUACCCGCUGAACUUAA